GAAGCGGUGACAUAUUGAAAAUGAAGCCGAAGAAGCGACACGUCCUGCUGCUGCUGUGGCUGCUGCUCGUCUGUUCCGGCACGACGGAGGCCAUCGAGCCCAUCAGCACCAGCAUAGCUGUCGGCAUGGCAGUGGCUCUGACUGGGUUUUUAGCCAGCUACCAGAACAUCCUCAACUAUUUCCACGAGUGCUGUCGACCCGAGUGGAUUUCCUUGAACAGGACAGGUCUCCAGCAUGAUCUGAAAACCAAACUUUUUGGACAGCACAUCGCGUCACGCAUCGUCUUGAAAGCCGUGAGUGGAUUCAUGGCCAACAAAAACCCAAAGAAGCCCCUGGUGCUCUCUCUGCACGGAUGGACCGGCACGGGGAAGAACUUUGUCAGUCAGCUGAUCGCUGAAAACAUUUACAAGAAGGGAAUGGACAGCAGCUUUGUUCACUUUUUCACUGCUCAACAUCAUUUUCCAAAUUCAAAUCAAAUAGAGACCUAUAAGUCUCAGUUAAAGCGCUGGAUUAAAGGCAGUGUCACCAACUGUGCGCGCUCCAUGUUCAUCUUCGAUGAGAUGGACAAGAUGCACCCUGGGCUGAUUGACAGCAUAAAGCCGUUCCUGGACUAUUACGAAAAGCUGGAUGGAGUUUCUUAUCAGAAAGCCAUCUUCAUCUUUCUCAGCAACGCUGGAGGGGAGAGCAUCAUAGAGACGGCUUUAAAUUUCUGGAGAGCAGGACGGGAUCGAGAAGAGAUCGAGCUCAAAGACCUGGAAACGGCGCUCUCUCUGUCAGUGUUCAACAACAAGAAAAGUGGCUUCUGGCAUACAAGCUUGAUUGACAAGCACCUGGUGGACUUCUUCGUUCCCUUUCUGCCUCUGGAGUACCGGCACGUCGUCCAGUGUGUCUUGGCUGAGAUGAAGGCCAAAAACCUUAAGCCAAAAAAGAGCGUGGCGGAACAGGUGGCCAGAGAUUUAGUCUAUUCGCCCAAAUCUGAGAGAGCGUUCGCCGUCAAAGGCUGCAAGACGAUAGGCAGCAAAUUAGACUACUACAUAUGAUGGACACUGCAUAAGAUCACUAUGUGCACUUUUUUUUUCAAAAGAAAAGAAAAACACUCUCAGCCAAAUGACUAAAGAGAGGAAGUCGAGCUGACUGAACUCUGACAAGGUCUCUGCAGAGAUUUCUCUGUCUGAAGCGGGCACGAGCAGGAUUUCGACGGGCCUUCUCCAGUGUUGCAUCUCAACUUACACUGAACGAAAGAGGCUGAUGAAAGAGCGCAGCGCCAGUCGAAUUAAAAAAAAUAAAACGGAAAUGCUAUCCUGUCGGACUGAUUUAAGGAGUUUGAUCUCCGCUUUCAUGUCACACCACAGUGAGAGUCUCGGCCGGCUCUGUUUACCCGAGAGCUUCUUAAUGACUUACAGGGUGUCUGUGCUACUAUGGCAUGUCACUGUUGUGCUUUUUAAAAUUAUUAUUAUUUUUGUGUACCCCGGUCUUAAUUCUUUUUGAUUUCCCUUUUUUUUUUUUUUUAAAGAUGUAUUGAGUUAUUUCACACACAUGUCCACUGUAUAUUAUGAGUUCAUGAGCAGUCAAAGUUUGCCUUGCUGGGUGAGAUGGGGUAGUAAUUUCACAAAUACAGAAAUGACGACAGAUACAGACAGUAGCAGGAUGUUUUUUAUACAGUGCAGUCAUGCACUUUUAAUAUCUUAUUUUAACAAUAUGAUACAUACAAAUGGAUUCUGUUAUAUACGAGUAAUAUACACUGUAAUUCUUAUAGAGGCAUCCAAUAUUUCCAAAUGUAAUUUUGCCUUACAGUUAUGAUGAACACCAUGACUUGACUCUGUAGCUGCAUUUAAACUCUGUGUGAACUCAGGAAACACUUUUUUUUUUUUUUUAAGAAAUGCAGACUGUUCAACAAUCGAGAUAUUGUAUAAAACAGCCAAAAUGUUCCUUUUUUUAAUUUGUGGAAAUGUUAAGUCGUACAUAUCACUGUUGGGGAAGUACAUGUCCUGUUAGUUUCUCAACAACUGAAAGACUUUCUGUAUAGUUGCUCUAUUUCCUGUAGGUGAAGGAGUUUUUACCCGACUGUGAAAUAACAUUGUUGGUGUGGAUUGAAAGCAAAAACUGGCGAGCUUCGCUGCUGUAAACACACCAGAUGCGGGGGAAAAAAAAAAAAUCACAAAUAAAAUAUGAAGUUUU